AUCUGCAAAUGAUCAUGCGUCAGGUGAUCAGCUCUCGGUUUCUGGACAUUCCGUGCGUUCGUAAUUUGUGCCGAUCAUCAGCAGCAGCCCGCUGAUUAUGCUAAAGGAUCACCCGCUUCGCCUGCUCCCCGCGAUAUCGAUGGGAGUCGAACCGGUUUCACCCAUUUUGCAUGACCAACUAACUAAUCAUUCCUCGCAUUUGAGCCGCCCGACCCCGAAGUCGAGGCAAUGAAAAUGCAAAAAACACAUAAAUGUAUCUCAAGUGCUUGACAGGACUUCAAAGCGCGCAUCAUAGUGCGUGCCACGAGAGCAUCGGACAGACGGCCAGACGAGGCCAGCUAUCUUCCUUCCAAGCUGACUCCGUGAUGCCCUGUACUGGUCAAUUUGAGUUGAAAAUCACUUUUCAUCUUAAUUUCGCAUCGCAACAAUUCUCGGAAUCCUGAAGCAGACUCUCGAAAUUCUUCACCUGUUAGCUGUUAACUAUCGAUGUGCUCGCAUCGAUUCCAUGUAGGGUAUUUAGCACGCAAAUGGGAAACUAAUGUUUUAUGGUAUGGUCGAUGGUCGUCGGUUUAUGUUGUUGUUUCGCUUUUUGUUGCUGUUCGACUGCGUGUGAAUGUGCAGGCAGCAAAAACAAAAUCGAGAAAAAUACGACUACGAUGAAUGUGCGAGAGCUGCAAGUGGAUGUCACCACAUCCACAGCCACAACCACAUCCACAUCCACAGUUGCAGGGGCUGCAGAAGCAAAAGCAGCAGCCUCAUCAGAUCAGAAGCCUAGCCAGCAGAUGCCGCACAUACCAAGGCGAUACAGACACUCUGGGAGCAGGAGCAGUUGAGUGGAGAAGUGGUGCAGCGAUUCGGCGGCUGGUGGCGGUGGUUUAGCCAGGAGAUGCCAUGCUCCAGCACAGUUGGGUUCAGAAAUAUAUGUAGGCAUUACGAUUGGAUAAUAAUUAGAAUCAAUUCACAGCCUCGAAAGUUUUUAUAUAUCUCAAAAGCAGAGGCAACACUGCGUAUGAGUAAUUAUUUUUUUGAUAGAGCUGUAAUAAUAUAUUUUCUACUUUCUAAACACAA